rnacentral:rRNA from 1 species
UACGUAGGGGGCAAGUGUUAUCCGGAUUUACUGGGUGUAAAGGGAGCGUAGGCGGCGGAGCAAGUCAGAAGUGAAAGCCCGGGGCUCAACCCCGGGACGGCUUUUGAAACUGCCCUGCUUGAUUUCAGGAGAGGUAAGCGGAAUUCCUAGUGUAGCGGUGAAAUGCGUAGAUAUUAGGAGGAACACCAGUGGCGAAGGCGGCUUACUGGACUGACAAUGACGCUGAGGCUCGAAAGCGUGGGGAGCAAACAGG